GCGAACUGAUUAGAAGCUUGCUUCUAUGACGUUAGCGGCGGACGGGUGAGUAACACGUGGGCAACCUGCCUGUAAGACUGGGAUAACUUCGGGAAACCGAAGCUAAUACCGGAUAGGAUCUUCUCCUUCAUGGGAGAUGAUUGAAAGAUGGUUUCGGCUAUCACUUACAGAUGGGCCCGCGGUGCAUUAGCUAGUUGGUGAGGUAACGGCUCACCAAGGCAACGAUGCAUAGCCGACCUGAGAGGGUGAUCGGCCACACUGGGACUGAGACACGGCCCAGACUCCUACGGGAGGCAGCAGUAGGGAAUCUUCCGCAAUGGACGAAAGUCUGACGGAGCAACGCCGCGUGAGUGAUGAAGGCUUUCGGGUCGUAAAACUCUGUUGUUAGGGAAGAACAAGUACGAGAGUAACUGCUCGUACCUUGACGGUACCUAACCAGAAAGCCACGGCUAACUACGUGCCAGCAGCCGCGGUAAUACGUAGGUGGCAAGCGUUAUCCGGAAUUAUUGGGCGUAAAGCGCGCGCAGGCGGUUUCUUAAGUCUGAUGUGAAAGCCCACGGCUCAACCGUGGAGGGUCAUUGGAAACUGGGGAACUUGAGUGCAGAAGAGAAAAGCGGAAUUCCACGUGUAGCGGUGAAAUGCGUAGAGAUGUGGAGGAACACCAGU
rnacentral:rRNA from 2 species